GCGGAGCUUGCAAUGAGCUGAGAUUGUGCCACUGCAUUCCAGCCUGGGCGAUAGAGCGAGACUCCAUCUCAAAUAAAUAAAUAAAUAAAUAGUGCCAAUGUUAUGACCAGAGGCAGCAAGGCCUGACACAGCAUCCAAGGCCAGUCUGGGCACCUGCUCUUUUGCACAUUAAUAUAAUAAGCUUUAACAAGAAAUACAUGUUAACUUUCUCAGGAUCAAAGGAUUCAGAAGGCUAUUUUGCUCUCAUUUUAUCCUUAGGCUUCAGCAGAAGAAACACUUCCUAUAAAUCUCGCCCAAACAGGAAAGGUCACUGAAGCCCACUUUUGAGACAAAGACUAUUUCUCCCCCAAAAGUCAAGGGAAAUAUAAAAAGUGAAAUUAGUGAUUAAGCAUAGAAGUCAAUUAAUACAAUCAUUUUGUCUUAAUUAUUUAAAGUCCAGUUUUUUUCCUCCAGCAAACCUGAAAAUACACUAUCCUCCAGCUAUCAGAAUUAUAUUGAGAUCUACUCACAUUUAUGAUGAUGUUCAGAGAUUCAUCAUUGGGAAGGAAAAUGCACACGCUGCGGCGGUCUUGCAUGACUCUGUUGUGGAAAUUCAAUUUGUUCAUUGUGUUUUGGGCUCUCUGGGUGGUCAGGGCUGGGCUCUGGGUCCUUGGCAAUUCCUCAGGUUCCCAGCACUCCAAAGCCAAGCUCACCUCCUCAUCACACGCCCUGCAGGAGAAGCAUCAGGGUGUCCGACUACGUGGGUUUCAUAGCUGUGGAAAAGCCAAAGGGGAGACUCCUGAAGAAAGGCGGUGAAGACUGUGAAGAGCGGGUCAGGAAGAUGAGCACAGCACUGCUACUCCUGUGGGCACAGGGACAGCAUGUCUCCAGCCAGCGCCACCUUGUUUAAUACAUGGGAACUCACUGAAAUUCAUUCUGUAUUUUGCCCACAAAGUUUUAAAGCUUUCAUCCACAGUCAGGAAUUAAACUUAUACCAAUGAGAGCCUCACACAUUCAAGGAUGUACUAAGCACUACAGGCCUCACAGAAACAGAGAUCCCAUCUUGGAGUUUUCAGUCCCACAUGGGAGAUAAAGGGUUUUGAACAUGAAAUGACAAAAACAACAGCAAGAAGAAAAUUCUCGUCCUUUUUCAUUACUAUCAAACUCAAAUAAAUGUCUUGGCUCUUACAUUACAUUCAUUCUUCAACCAUUGUGGUCUGGCUUCCACUUCCUUCACUUCACCAACAUGGCUCUGCCAAAGGAAGCCUGUGAUCUCUAGGCCAUCACUUUAAUUGAUCUCUCUACAACAUUUAUCCUGGUCGUUAAGCCCUCCUUACAACAUUCUUCUCUCUUUGUUUUUAUGGCUCUGUCUCUCCUGCUUCUUUAACCUGAUAAUGCAUACUUGAUUUUUCCAUUUAUUAUUUCAUCAACCAAUUAAUACACAGAUAAAACAAGACUGUGUAUAUCAAACCAUGUUUGUAUAGAAAAAAUGGAUUUUGGAUGCCUCUCAUAUGUAAUUAGUUCUAUUAAACAUAUUAAUUGUAUUGUUUAAUUUAUC
rnacentral:lncRNA from 1 species